rnacentral:tRNA from 1 species
UAUAAAUUAGUGUAUGAUGCACAUAAAUUUUUGAAAUUUAAUGAAAAGUUUAAUUCUUUAAUUUGUAA